rnacentral:rRNA from 1 species
UACGUAGGUGGCAAGCGUUGUCCGGAUUUACUGGGCGUAAAGAGCGCGCAGGCGGUCGUUCAAGUCGCGUGUGAAAGCCCCCGGCUCAACUGGGGAGGGUCACGCGAUACUGAUCGACUGGAAGGCAGGAGAGGGUAGUGGAAUUCCCGGUGUAGUGGUGAAAUGCGUAGAUAUCGGGAGGAACACCAGUGGUGAAGGCGACUACCUGGCCUGUUCGUGACGCUGAGGCGCGAAAGCUAGGGGAGCAAACAGG